CCCACAGACAAAGUCUUAUAUUCUCGAUAUGGGAUUGAUAUCUCAACAUCUCAUAGCUAAGGCUGGGAACCAUAUAAUUUUCAAGGCGCCUAGAGCCUUUGAUUGAAGCCUCGAGCAGUUACAUCUCGGUUCGGCACACUUCCCUUUUCUAUGAGGUGAAUAAUUAUGCCAUUAACUGGGUGAAACAAACUUCCCUUUUCUAUGAGGUGAAUAAUUAUGCCAUUAACUGGGUGAAACAAGAUCAGUAGACGGCAGAGUACAAACUCAAAAGGCACAUAUCAACAUAAACAUUCCAAAUCCUUCCCUUACAACCUCGUGGACCUUAUUCACAGCACUGCUGAUUAUACCUAUUAGAAGUACUAUAGGUGCUUUAUCAGCUUAUUCAAAGAGCUAAUCAACAAGCAUCUACAUACGCAUAUAUAACUAUAAGAUAGUUUUUGAUCAUGAUUGAUCGAUUUAGUGGUGGCCGGGAAGCUUCUCUUUGAUCUUGUCCAUCAUUCCCUUCUCCUGGUGUUGGCCACCACCGUAAGGUGUAGUAGUCGCACCGUAGGGAUCGUCGGACCUGUGCUUUCCACCUGGUAGCUUCUCCUUUAUCUUCUCCUUCAAACCCUUCUUCUUCCUCCUUCCGCCAUAUCCAUCAUCUUCAGACUAUUCAUACACACAUCAUAAUCAAAUAAACAUUCAUUUACUUACAAAAUAAAUAAACAUUCAUUUAUAUAUCAAUCAUGUUAUCAUGAACACAAAAAAUGAGCUGAUAAAGCAUCCAAUGGAGUGAAACUCACAGAGCUUGAGCUGUCAGAGCGGUGAAGUGGGACGGAGGUCACGCCGCCGGCCGUUGUUGCAGCGAAGCCAGUCGGCCCAGUGCCAUGAGUUCCGAAGCCAGUACCAGUUGUACCAUGGGUUCCGUAGUCUGUACCAGUUGUACCAUGAGUUCCAUAGCCUGUUCCGGUCGUGUCAUGACUGCCGUACCCGGCGGUUGCUCCAGUUACACCGUGGUGAACCGGGUCCUCAGUCCGGCGGAUAGGGUUUCCGAACUCGUCGGUGGUCUUGUCUCUAUCGUACUCGCUCUGGAAAUGCGCCAUAUUGAUCAGCUUCCCAAAAACGCAAACAGUUGGUGUGCAAAUGAUCGAAAUUGUAUAUGAUGAUGUGUAUAAACAGCUUCUGUUUUUGG
rnacentral:lncRNA from 1 species